rnacentral:rRNA from 1 species
GAUGAACGCUGGCGGCGUGCCUAAUACAUGCAAGUCGAGCGAACAGACGAGGAGCUUGCUCCUCUGACGUUAGCGGCGGACGGGUGAGUAACACGUGUAUAACCUACCUAUAAGACUGGGAUAACUUCGGGAAACUGGAGCUAAUACCGGAUAAUAUAUUGAACCGCAUGGUUCAAUAGUGAAAGACGGUUUUGCUGUCACUUAUAGAUGGAUCCGCGCCGCAUUAGCUAUUUGGUACGGUAACGGCUUACCAAGGCAACGAUGGGUAGCCGACCUGAGAGGGUGAUCGGCCACACUGGAACUGAGCCACGGUCCAGACUCAUACGGGAGGAAGCAGAAGGGAAUGUUCCGCAAUGGGCGAAAGCCUGACGGAGCAACGCCGCGUGAGUGAUGAAGGUCUUCGGAUCGUAAAACUCUGUUAUUAGGGAAGAACAAAUGUGUAAGUAACUAUGCACGUCUUGACGGUACCUAAUCAGAAAGCCACGGCUAACUACGUG